GACGAACGCUGGCGGCGUGCUUAACACAUGCAAGUCGAACGGAAAGGCCCUGCUUUUGUGGGGUGCUCGAGUGGCGAACGGGUGAGUAACACGUGAGUAACCUGCCCUUGACUUUGGGAUAACUUCAGGAAACUGGGGCUAAUACCGGAUAGGAGCUCCUGCUGCAUGGUGGGGGUUGGAAAGUUUCGGCGGUUGGGGAUGGACUCGCGGCUUAUCAGCUUGUUGGUGGGGUAGUGGCUUACCAAGGCUUUGACGGGUAGCCGGCCUGAGAGGGUGACCGGCCACAUUGGGACUGAGGGACGGCCCAGACUCCUACGGGAGGCAGCAGUGGGGAAUAUUGCACAAUGGGCGGAAGCCUGAUGCAGCGACGCCGCGUGCGGGAUGAAGGCCUUCGGGUUGUGAACCGCUUUCGCCUGUGACGAAGCGUGAGUGAUGGUAAUGGGUAAAGAAGCACCGGCUAACUACGUG
rnacentral:rRNA from 1 species